GAUUUGGCUAUUAGAAUGCUCUCUCUGUUUUUGAAUAUUUCUGUGUUGAUAUUCUUUGAUUUGAUUUUGGCUGAAUUUUGAUUUUUAUGUUUAGUAUGAUAUGUGGAUAUGAGAUUUGCCUAUGGGUGAACUUUCAAUCUUCUGAUAAUGCCAUGCAGCAAAGCUAUGGUAAAGAGUUCUGAUUCGUCUUUUUUAACAUGUUCUGGAAAUUUUCUCUCUGGUUCUCUUUGAUUUGUAAUGGGC
rnacentral:misc_RNA from 1 species